rnacentral:rRNA from 1 species
UGGUAAGGUAACGGCUUACCAAGACGAUGAUGGGUAGGGGUCCUGAGAGGGAGAUCCCCCACACUGGUACUGAGACACGGACCAUACUCCUACGGGAGGCAGCAGUGAGGAAUAUUGGACAAUGGGCGCAAGCCUGAUCCAGCCAUGCCGCGUGCAGGAAGACGGUCCUAUGGGUUGCAAACUGCUUUUAUACAGGAAGAAACACUCCCUCGUGAGGGAGCUUGACGGUACUGUAGGAAUAAGGAUCGGCUAACUCCUAUGCUCAGCGCCGCGGUAAUACGGAGGAUCCAAGCGUUAUCCGGAAUCAUUGGGUUUAAAGGGUCCGUAGGCGGCCUUAUAAGUGAGUGGUGAAAUCUCCUAUCUCAACUAGGAAACUGCCAUUGAUACUGUAGGGUUUGAAUUUUUGUGAAGUAACUAGAAUAUGUAAUGUAGCGGUGAAAUGCUUAGAUCUUACAUGU